UCAGAUCUCGGGAUCGGAUGGUUGUGA
rnacentral:piRNA from 1 species